AUGAUACUCGUGCAAGGAGUCGUCGGUCAAUGUACACCAGCUCUUCAUGCAGUUUCUCCCCUUUUCAUGCGAUGGCAACUGAAGUGGAGAUGUGCUACCACUCGCUCUGGGCCUCCCUUUACAUCUAGCACCCAAGUACCCAACCACCAUCAGCUAGCCCCCUCCAGUCCAGGCUUGACUUGCUUUUUUGCCACCAACCAGCCAUUGCCAAUUUGCCACCCUCAAUCAUCACUUGAAUCCAAGAUUCUGGUUUGGUUUUCAAUUUCACCACAUGAACAAAGCAAAAUUGGCAUCCAUCUCGUCAGCCGAACGAGGAUGUAUAUGGCAAAGAACAACUUUGCGACCUCGGUUCGGCUGAUGCUGAUCCUCCUUGUUCUGCUGGUUUUCGUCGGUUGCAUCGUCGGACGAGGUGGGCCGUCCACCUGCGACCAUCCUGCAGCUCAGCAAAACUGCCCGCCGAUCCCUGGUGGCGACUCAUAA
rnacentral:rRNA from 1 species